rnacentral:tRNA from 1 species
GAGGGUGUAGCUCAGUGGUAGAGCGCAUGAGUAGCAAGCAUGAGGUCCUGCGUUCAAUCCCCAGUCACUCCA